rnacentral:rRNA from 1 species
GAUGAACGCUGGCGGCGUGCUUAACACAUGCAAGUCGAACGGAAAGGCCCAAGCUUGCUUGGGUACUCGAGUGGCGAACGGGUGAGUAACACGUGGGUGAUCUGCCCUGCACUUCGGGAUAAGCCUGGGAAACUGGGUCUAAUACCGGAUAGGACCACUUCUUGGAUGUUGUGGUGGAAAGUUUUUUCGGUGUGGGAUGAGCUCGCGGCCUAUCAGCUUGUUGGUGGGGUGAUGGCCUACCAAGGCGUCGACGGGUAGCCGGCCUGAGAGGGUGUACGGCCACAUUGGGACUGAGAUACGGCCCAGACUCCUACGGGAGGCAGCAGUGGGGAAUAUUGCACAAUGGGCGCAAGCCUGAUGCAGCGACGCCGCGUGGGGGAUGACGGCCUUCGGGUUGUAAACUCCGUUCGCUAGGGACGAAGCGUUUUGUGACGGUACCUGGAGAAGAAGCACCGGCUAACUACGUG